rnacentral:rRNA from 1 species
AGAAUCAACGCUGGCGGCGUGCCUAACACAUGCAAGUCGAACGAGAAAGUGGAGCAAUCCAUGAGUAAAGUGGCGACCGGGUGAGUAACACGUGACUAACCUACCUUCGAGUGGGGGAUAACCUCGGGAAACCGAGGCUAAUACCGCAUAACAUCGCAAGAUCAAAGCAGCAAUGCGCUGGAAGAGGGGGUCGCGGCUGAUUAGCUAGUUGGCGGGUAACGGCCCACCGAAGGCGAAGAUCGGUA